GGCUCAAGAGUUUCUACUAUCAAGGUCAUGGCUAAGGAAUAAAUGUGACAACAUGCGAUAGAAGACAUGAUGCAUUCCUGUCAAGUAGCCCCAAGUAGCCCAUCUUUCCUGAUAUGAGAAUUUCAAGUAACUCGCUUUUGGCGUCUGAAAGGAAGGCAAAGGAUGGCAUGUGCUCCUCCCUUCUGGCCUUCCGCUGUGCCUCCCGUGCUUUCAUGUCCGGAAGACUUCUCGGAAGCCUCUGCUGAACAGGACUUUUCUGUUACCUGUUAGGCCAAGAGGAUCAAUCCUGGUUCAUGUUCAAGCAAUAAUACCUGGUAAGGUUGCCCUUCUUACCAUGUUUGCACUGGUCCCCUGGCACGUCUCCCGAUCUCUGAACUCAGAGAAUCUAGGCUUGAAGCUUUAGUUUGAAGUGCUCAGGACAAAAUCUCUUUCAAAUGUCAACGAUGACAGCAUUGUAAAAUUCCGUGAACCCAUCAUCCUUGAGAAAUGUUAAACCCUGAUGAAUCUAGAGGAGGUUAAGUCUGUAUCCAGUGACUAACCAAUGUGGACCUCUGAUGAUCCACAAGAUGUCGAUUUGAUGCCAUUCUGAAUGUCCUUCCACGUCCUAAAAUGUAGGAACUUCGUGGGACCUGCAUUCUGGUAU